GCUUGUGUGUUUUAGUCUCUGGUGUGUUUGUUAGUUUGUGUUUCAUGAGUUUUGGGUUCUCUGGUAAAACAAUGAAAAUCUGAAAACCCUAAAACCUAUUUCUCUAGAGCACCAGGGAAGUGUUGUGAGAAGCUCUUUGCUGUGGACAUUGAUCUCGGGUGGCUGCCAAUCAGAGAGUGCCCGGGACCUCAAGCUGUGACAGCCUAGGUGGACAGUAGCCUUGGACUCAGGUUGUGUACUUAAGAACCAAUAAAUGUCCAUGUCAGCUAAAUUAGGUCUCAAAUCGUUCAAAGAAAUUCAUCACUAUUCCUCUCCAUUUUCAGUACAUUCUGAUAAUUUUAUAUUUUUCUUGUGAACAUGUGCAGAAAUUUUUUAAAAGUUGGGAAAUAAUGAUCCAUGAGGUUAUUAACCAAGAGGCAGCCAUUGCUGAAUAUUUUCUAUUAUUCUUAGAGUCGUUUCUAUUGUUUAGAUGGUAGCAUUCUCACUAGUGAUAAAUUAAACUGUAUUUCCCGCCUUUUUUUCCUCCGAACUACCGACACACACUUCUGUCUUUAAGCUUUGUCUUUAUUUAUGUGUAUGUUGGCGAGCCCAUAUGACUUCAUGUGUGAAACAAAGUGCACUGCACAUUCACUUAAAAUGCAUUACUUUAUGCUUUGUGUUUGGGUACACACACAUCUUCCCUGUGACUGAGACACUUCUCGAGCAUAAUAGUGGAAGCUCAUGCAGGUGCAAAGGCUUGCGUCAGAGCUCAUGCCAUGCGAGAUGACCAGGAGACUAAGACAGUCAGCAGGGUUAGGCCAGACCCUCACCGUCUCCUCGCCUCUCAGCUCAGCUCCUUCUCAAAUGGUGUUUGAUAAUGAAGGAAACACUUAAGUGAAAAAUAUGCCCUUUAUGCUUUUGAAAUGACACCUUAUCCUGAAUAAUAAAUACGACUCUAAAGCUGCAGAGGGAAAGCAAAUGGGUUUAUCUUGGAUAAUUGGCCAUAAGCCUACAGCCUUGUAAGGGGGAGGGGCAUGUUGAUUGGCAACCACGAGUCAUGUGCCCAAUUCUGCGGCUGGCCAUGGACAUCAAAGAAAAUAUCCGAGUUAUAUGCAAACAACUGGAUGUCUACUGGAUUCACCUUGGGCUUCCCGUGGCACAUGGGCAGGGUUGCCUGGAGUAACUACUCCAACACUUGCUGAAUCCAGUGGGCCCACUUACCCACUGUGAGUAAGAAGGCAAGACAAACACUUUUCUGAUGUCUUGAGCUAUUUGAUGGACACAUGAAGAGGCCACAUUGACCAUCCG
rnacentral:lncRNA from 1 species